rnacentral:rRNA from 1 species
CCUACGGGGAGCUGCAGUGAGGAAUAUUGGUCAAUGGGAGAGAUCCUGAACCAGCCAAGCCGCGUGAGGGAAGACGGCCCUAUGGGUUGUAAACCUCUUUUGUCGGAGAACAAAACCCGGGACGUGUCCCGGACUGCGUGUAUCCGAAGAAAAAGCAUCGGCUAACUCCGUGCCAGCAGCCGCGGUAAUACGGAGGAUGCGAGCGUUAUCCGGAUUUAUUGGGUUUAAAGGGUGCGUAGGCGGUCCGUUAAGUCAGCGGGAAAAUUGCGGGGCUCAACCCCGUCGAGCCGUUGAAACUGGCAGACUUGAGUUGGCGAGAAGUACGCGGAAUGCGCGGUGUAGCGGUGAAAUGCAUAGAUAUCGCGCAGAACUCCGAUUGCGAAGGCAGCGUACCGGCGCCAGACUGACGCUGAGGCACGAAAGCGUGGGGAUCGAACAGGAUUAGAUACCCCUGUAGUC